UAAGAAGUCAAAUGGGGCACUAAUGUUGGUGUACAGAUAUCAAAACAGGGUUAAUAUCAAAUGCAGUCCUGAAGAAUUCUGACAUAGAAGCCAUGCCCAGAUGAGCAACAUACCUGCAGAGCAGCACAGCUGUACUGCUUACUUCAACCAUAUUAAUAAUGCAUUAACUUUCUGAAAUAAGAAGGAUCAUUCACUAAUCAAAGCCAGCAAUAUCACAAUAAACUUUUGUCUUUCUUGGUUAUUAUAAUACCACAAAGAGGAGAGAGAGGUCCAUUCUCCACUGAUGGCUAAUCCCAACCAACCAUAGCUGAUUCUGUGCCUGAGCCCAGUAUGUGGAUCCUGUACUCAUACCAGAAGGAACACAUGGACCUCUUAGGGAUCUGGAAGAGCAUCACCGAGACUAAUUUAGCAGAUAACCAGCUAAUAUAAGUUGAAUUGCUGUUUAUCUAUUUGGAUUCCAUUGACACACCCCAAACACAGCAGCAUCUUAAGCAAAAGGACAGAUGUGCACAUAAAGUGCCUGUUUCCUGGAUUUGAGAGGAGUCUCUGUGGGCUCUGUUUACCUACACAACUUGAAUCUUUCAGAAGAAGUACAAGCAGUAAACCAAUGCAACAUUAUUUUACCCUAUCUCUGAUGCUGGAUUUGGGAGA